GUUAUUUUUAUUUUAAAUUCAAUCUCUAAUGACUUCUUAGAAUGAAGAAUUUAGGGAAAAGGAGGCGGGAGGAGGGGUAAGCUCAAAUGCUCCAGUUUUUAUUCAAAAUCAAAGUUAUUCUGGAAAAUACUAUAAGUGUUAGUCUAUAAUAUCUCUUAUAAUAUUUGCAGUCUGUAUGCAAACACUGAAUAGUAUAAGUGGGACAUAAAAUUAUGUUGGAUAUUUAAAUAUUCAGCUGAAACUACUGAACACUAAAUAUUAUGGAAAUUAAAAGCCUGGAUUAUCAAGUUGGUUUAUAGCUUUCUAGAAGAAUCUAUGUAAGUACUCAUCUUCAAAUAAGGUUACAUGUGCAUAUAUAGAAAGCAAUAUGUUUUUAAAUUUCACUUUAGUGCCACUUUUUGUCCAUAAUGGAUUUAUUGCCAAUUUGUCAUACUACUUUGAUCCAUCUUUUUUUUUUCUGUUUGCCAGAA
rnacentral:lncRNA from 1 species